GGAGGCAAAGAAUAAUUGACAGAAGGCAUAGAAUUACAACCUUGACAGCCAACACUAUCUACAGAAGAAGGAGAAACAGGAAUUUCCUGCUGAGAUAAUUUACCACCUUCAGAGUAUAGACUUGUCUUCUAUUAAUCUAUAGAGGAAAGCUAUGCAUCCCUCCAACAAACUCUGAUUAUGUCCAAAAAGUGUUUUCAGGUUGUUCUGUAUUUUUUUUCAACGUAUUAGCUGUCCAAGGGAAAAAGAUGAAAGCAGAGCCAUGAUAAGCAAAUGACAAAAUUUAAAAAUACAUAUUUAUAGUAACAAGAUCUAAAUUGGGAGAAUAUCUGGUUUUCCAAAAUGAAUACAAGGGACUCUAGAAAAAUAAUGAAAAACAUUCAACAAUAACAGUCAGCUGAUGGUAAUUGAAAAUAUAUUAUACACAGGAUGUGAAAUCUUCAUGUCUGGACAAUCAGCUUUUUGUAUACACAGAUUUAGCAGGUCAGACUGUGGGAUUUGAGUAAGCAUGGAGUUUGGUAUAUGUGGGGGGUCCUGGAACCAAUUCACCAAGUAUACUGAGGGAUUACUUUAUUAUUUGAUUUUCUGUAAGUAUAAUUACCAUCUACUUCAAAGAAAAUUUCUGUAU
rnacentral:lncRNA from 1 species